UACGAGGGGUGCAAGCGUUGCUCGGAAUUAUUGGGCGUAAAGGGUAGGUAGGUGGUCUCAUUUGUCUGGGGUGAAAGCCUUGGGCUUAACUCAAGAAGUGCCGCAGAAACGGUGAGACUGGAGUCCUGGAGAGGGUCGUGGAAUUCCCGGUGUAGCGGUGAAAUGCGUAGAGAUCGGGAGGAACACCAGAGGCGAAGGCGGCGUCCUGGACAGGUACUGACGCUCAACUACGAAAGCGUGGGGAGCAAACAGG
rnacentral:rRNA from 1 species